CCCCUUUAAUACUUUUUUUGAAACUUGCAUUUUUGUCAACCUGAUUUCCAUUUCCUGUUUUAGAGCCUGUGGAAGAACAGCUUAAGGCCACUCAGCGAUUGGUUGUUCCUAUCCAUUCAGCGGCCUGAGCAGAGGGAGCUGCAAACCAGACCUCAGUGGUUGGCUAAGUGCGCCAGUCCACAGUAAGGAACGACUGAAUAGGGACAGAGGACACUUGCACAACUCAGGACCAGGCUCUUCCCUCAGGUUGAGUAGCAGUGAGCUCAGCAGCUAAAGCAGCCCACCCACCUUCAAAUUCCUCCUUGUUACAGCCUUUUCAGCAGCGGCCCCUCUUCCUUUCCAAUCUUCUGGAGGCAGGAUCUCCACGGAAGGAGAGAUGAGGUGUGGCCUCCUGCAGGAGUUCACAGGGUGGCGGCGCCACGCAUGCUCAGAACUUCCCUAGGCCUGUAUUUACCACCUCAGACCCGCUGAGUGAGCUCCCUUAUUGUGGCACGGGAUGGCAAUGCCCACAUAGCACAGAGGAGAGUCUGUGCUACCCAGAAUGAUGGUGGGCAGGUUAACGUAAGACAUCUCCGUGAGAGGCUGGUGGUCGGCCCUGGAAUCGGUAAGCACCAGAAGACGCAACUCCAGGAGGGCUGCGCAGAUACGGUGCACGAAGCUUCCGGGGAGCAAAGCAGCCAACAACAGGAGUGGCUCCAGCAGCAGCAGCAAACGUCAGCCCAGCUCCGUGGCCCGUGUUCCUGGAGGAUAUGAUACUGACACCAGCUGGGUUUUCAGUAGCGACAAUGGCAGGAGCUGCCGGCAGAAGCUUCUCCCAAGUCUCUUCAGAUUAAUAAGUUUUUACACUGGCGGUGUCUAAUUUUUUAUAAUUAUAGAAGGAUUUGAAGUCAGUUGCACAAAUAUCAGACUGAAGAUGCCUGGCUUGAAAGCGGUUACUGCUGAUGCCUAAGGACAGUCUCAGUUUGUGGAGAAUCCUGUGCUUUCCAACCUUGACCUCACUUCGUUCUUACAGUAAACUUUGAUUCAUGUCCGCCUUGCAACAAAUGUAUGAAGGUCAAAAGAAAAUAUAAGAUGGAUUUUUCUGCCCCAUCUGGCAGCUUCAGUUCAGCAGAAAUGAGAGCUAAACACAGCUGUGAAGACAGAAGGCUGAGGAGCAGCGUUCUGUUAACACUUGGGACAACUCUUAGUCAUUGUUCACAAUGACUCCCGCGAAUGGGACAGUGAAAGUCCUGUGGCCUUUAGCAUGGAAACAGCAUCACCAGCUGUCAAGGAUUUCUGAAUUUUAAGGGAACAAACAAAAUGAUUCAUGAGGUUGGGCAAAAUGGAAAAAUAUUAAUUUUCUUUGGGCUGGACAGAGAGAGAGGAAAGGGUUAAGCAUGAGUCGGAGAUUUCCAAAGCUAAGGGUGCCUUAAUUCCUAUAUAACAUUUUCUUUCUUUCUGUUAAUUAUCAUAUUUAGCAAAGUUUUCUCUGUUUCUUAAUUUUACUAAAUAUGGCAUUUAGAAUGGCCCUUUUGGUGUUCCAUGAUUUAAAACUUCUAAGUUGUUAGGAGAUAUUUUUGUCUUUCUUAUUUAACAUUAUGAAAAUGAUUGUUUUGAAGGUAUGAGAAAAAAAUGUUACAGAAAGGUGGUCCCUACACCUCACUUCACUCCUACUUGGAUUGACUGCUUUCUUUUUCCCUUCCUCCCCCCCUUCUUUCUUUCAUUCUUUCCUUUCUCUCUUCCUUCUUUCUGUCCUCUUAUCCAAAAAUGUACAAAGCAUGCAAGACAUAUGUCAAUGACAUAUGUCAAUAUUUUAUUAAUAAAUAUUUCAACAACUGAUGUAUAAAUCA